GCUACGGCUGCGACUGGACCGCGAGGGGCUGCUGUCGUCGCUGGACGACGAGGGACUGGGCCGGUAGUACGGGAUCGGCCGCUUCCGGGCGCUGCGGAGACGAGAGGGAGGGUGUUAACAUAGGACAAAGACAACAACUGUUUGACGGGUUAGUGUCAGCAGCAUCUUCAGGCAUUUAUCUGAUGCUGAUGUCAACACACAUGAUGUAUUAAGAAAAGAUUUGGUUGGAUGAGAGCAAAUCAGUGUUAGGUUACAGAGGUGGUAGACUUAUGAUCAGUACAGGAUCUGAAAGAGAGCAGUUAUGUGGGUUAAAAAGUCCAAGCUGUCUAACCCCACACACACACACACACACACUACAGUUGCACACAUACAUAUAGCAGAGAAAUGCAUGUGGUUAGUUUAAGCGCUUAGAUUGCCUUGUUAAUAGCCACCCUGGAAGUGCUUCCUGUAAGGUAAUUAGCUGUUAGCGCCCAAAAGAACUUCUUCUUCACAGUGGAGGCCAACACCCAGGAAAAUCAACAUUCAACAGUGUGGAUAGAGAUGAACGCUAUCAAGGUGUCCCUGCUGCUACAAGUCAUUUCAGCAGUGCUGUAGAUAACUCUUUAGCCUUGUAUUCUACAAUAUAUCUGCCAUGGGAAUCCACAGCCGGUGCAAUAGAGAGAUAUGCACUUAAACAAACCUUGAUAGCAUUUUAAUCUCUGUAUCCCUGUGUUAUAACAUUAGCGCAUAACCGUAGUGGGGUGUAGCUUUUAGAGUUGGUUUAUUUGUGUAAAUUUCAGGAAGGAGAUGAAUGAGGAGAGAGAGAGGACAGGGGAAAAGAAGAAACAGGAGGAGGCCACGUUUACUCUGGGGAGCUCUGAUGGUUUUGCUGUUCAGCCAAGCUUCUGGAGUCAGACUAGCAGGGUCCUGCUGCACGGCAACUGUUACCAGGGUAACUAGCCAGCAGCUCAGUUCAGCAGCAGCAUCCCGUUGUCUCGGCAUCAGGACCUUUAGGACUGGAGUGGAAGAUGACAAGGCAUACACAAAGAUCCCCCCGAUGGUUGCUGUGGCCCUGCUCAGUGGGCGAAUCAGACUUCAUAAAAAGCAUGAGCUAUUGGCUUGUCCUCUGAGUCAUGGCAUUCACAGCUGUCAGCCAAGGGCUCUCGAGCCGUGAGCCUGCACGCAAAUCAGAUGCGGUUUUCUCUUCUUCCAACUCUCUAAAGACAGCUUAACACAAAAAGAGGAAAAAGAGAGAGAUGAAAGCAGCUAUUAAGAAGGUUAGGGCCACACUGGCUGAGGAUCAGUGGGCCCACUGGCCAAAGAUACAAAAUUGCACAAGCACGACAUACUGUAUUAUUGUCAGACUCUCUGGCUGCAGACGGUCCACCAGGCUGCUCCAGAUAGAGAAAAAAGAGGAUGAUGGAGAAGCAUACUGUGUGCUAAACGAGACAAAGACCGCACUUGAGAGAGAGGAAUAAAAAGAGAAGAGGUUUUUUUUAUUUGAGGUUCGCUACAGAAGAUGGAACAAUUUAAUGGGAAAGAGAGGAAAAGUAAAUGCCAGCUCAGGAGAAAAAAAGCGAAUCAAAAGGAGAGUAAGAACAAUCGUUUCCAAUGGAACACAUUCAGAGAACAAGAUUUAUUGCUCUUUGGAGUACUGUUGGAGUUGUAUUGACGGGAGCAGUUUACCCAAUGCCUUUUAAAAUUAAACAACAACCUUCAAAGCUGCCUCCGUGCUAUAGCUAGUUAAUUGGAUAACAGUGAGACAAGCCAGUAAGAUGGGGACAAGUGCACGCUGCUGUAGACGCUCAGCGAGUCAAGGUGAGGCCGCAACACUGACAGCCUCAUACAACAUCGACGAGCCACUGAAGAAAGAUUUGACGGCUGCUCACUUUCUAACAAGCUGAACUUGCAUUUCCGCUUAAUUAGAAUGGUUUCUUAGUUGGAGAGCAGAGAAGCCUGAAGAGUGCCUCUUCACCGCAACCCGCAAUGAAUGACUCUUUCAUUUCUCCAAACACAGAGGCAGCCUCUCCUAUAACAGCUCAGGUGAGUUACAAUGGCAGGCUUCUGCCUCAGCGUGUCUCCAAGGCAACCCCGACAUUCCAUUUCAAAUUAAUUUGGACAGUAGCGCUUUUAUAAAUCGAGCACACUGCGGAAGCUUCAUUCCAUCUUCAAGAGAAAGGAAAGACACGGGGCAAAAUGUGAGUCCAUUAUAAAGACUGCUCUGCACUAUGUGUGGCUCGUGAAGUCAUGAGGCAACUGUCUGAAUGUAGCUGCAUCUGUCAUUUGUUUGAUUGCGGUUGAUUUGUUUUUUUUUGUGACCAAUCUUUUUAUCUAUUUUAUUCUCCACAAUGUUUGCAGGCGCACAUCAACAAGUAACCUCUGUCAAUAACAUAACAUAUAGGUAUACCGAGGCACUGAUAGACAGGUAAAUAAAUAAAACAAGGAGUAAUAAAAUAGAGAAAAGUAACAGAAAGCAUACACCUGCACCUUAACCCUGACCUACCCUGUCAUGGGUCUUUCUUUAAAUUCCACUAUAGAUGCAGCUGUGUUGAGCAUAACAUGGCUUGCCCUGUUCACCCUAGCAACAGAGAGCUCCAUAGAUAAAAUCCUAUUAAAGAGUGAUUCCACUGAUGAAUAGAAAUAGUAUGCGGUGGUUGCUACCUAACCGCCAACAUCUUUUUAGUAACAGUGCAUGUUGAUAGCCACAGCUGUCUUUGAGUAUGGUUAAAAUUCUACCCGGAGUCUAAACCAAAUGCUUCAGAGAGAUGUAUGUUAUUUGUUCCCAGUCCACAUUUGAUUCAAAUCACAUAGGGUACAGUUUGGUGAAGUAGUUAUAUUUAUCAUAAAACGCUGCUUUGGUGUCAAAUAAGUUUGAUAUACAUAUGAAGUUCAGGUUUAUUAGUUUCUGGCCCAGUCUAUAGAUGAUUCAGAGCAGUCUUUAUUCCAUAUUGUUAUUAUCGCUAAUGGGGUCUCUGUAACAAAGUGUGUAAAUUCUGUAAAUUAAAAGUGUAAAUUGAAGAGACAUGUCCUUUAGUCAAUCGUGAUAGUUUCUUAAUUUAAUCUACUACUGGAUGAGUAAUAGAUUGCCUGUCACUGAAAAUACUCGCAGCACGUAAAGCAGAACGUCAUUGUAAAUAUAGAAAAAAGAAGUUGGAUGACAAUUUGUAUGUUUCCCUCAAACCUUGAAAGCUUCUUAACCCAGUGUUAUUAAUAAUGUUUCCUGAGCUGUAUGUAUUAUUAGACCAUUGAGGUAAGAUAAAAAUAUUGUCCUCCAUACUUUAAUAAGCUUUUAUAAAAUAUCGGUGUGUUAGCAUGCCAUUUAGAUUUACAAUUAUUUAUCUUUUCUAUUUUCAGCAAAUUUUGAAUUGCAUACGCUAUUAUUAGACCAUACUUCAGUCUACAUUUUCUAACAGAAAGACCUGUAAACAAAAUGUCAUUCAGUGGAACUGUGGCUACCAAAUUCCUCUUGACAUUGAACCAUGGAGUUUAAGUAUUACCAUUAAACCAAUUUAUUAAAGGACGAAAGGUAGCCUGGAAACGCAAUUUAAAAUUGGGUACUGACAGCCCUCCUGACUCCUUCUUUCUUUGUAGGUGGGCCAGUUUUAUUUUUGGGUGUCUGCUGCUCCAUAAAAAUCUAGUAAUUGAUUGUGUUUGUUUGCC